CAAGAUCCCUGAGUCACUCACAUUCUUCCAAUCAUAGAGCUGACCAUCUGCCUCCUGGGCUGCAUGGAGAGGGGGUCACCUGGCCAGAUAUUCUGGACAAGGGCUGACUCGAGGCCAGACCUUCCUCCAGACACAGAGCCAGGUCCUGAACUCAUGACCACGAAGAGGAAAAACAGAGGAACAGAGAAGUUAAGUCACUGGCUCAAGAUCACGCAGCUUGGAAGUUGCAGCACCGAUGGAAUGGAUAAUCCAGGAGGAUUGGAGAUGGCAGCUCUGCAGGACAAAGCCCCCACUCCCUCAUGUGGUCCCUCUUCUUUCUGCUAAAUGCAGAAGACUCCAAUGUCCCAGAGGAAAGUAGAACCACAAGACCAAAGAGCCUGGAUCCCUGAAUCACCACAUGGAAGACCUGUCCACCAAUGGGGAGUUAUUGCAUGCAUGAGAAAUAAAGUUUGUUGUAAAGCCAUGGAGAUUUGGAGUUUAUCUGUUACAGCAAUUGGUAUUACCCUAACUUAUAACCAAGUAGGAGUGGGAGAUAAAGUAUGCCAG
rnacentral:lncRNA from 1 species